AAACACACACGCGAGACUCUCCUUUUGAAUGCAAAACCAUUUCUCCAAUCCCUAGAACGAACGGGCCCUUGCUACAAGUCGGCCUCUUAUUACGAGUUCAAAUUCGCCAGAACCGACGAAGAAAAGACAAGAGUCAGGAUGGGGGAUUUCCGGACCCUCGACACACAAAGCUCGGUGGAUAUUCACACAUCAUGAACUGGCAGAGAAGCAUCAAGCAACUAUCAAAGAGCUGUGAGGACCCUUGAACAAGUAUGGAGCCACUCGGUUGGAAGUGGAUAUUGAUGGGUCUAUUUCAUAUCCCGAACAAGUUGAUUCAAGGGAAAAUGGGCAUAAUCUUCUUGAUCCUCUCACUGUGGAAGAAGAACAACUUAUACGUAUUCUUUAUGAGCAAAAAAUUCAGGAAGUUUGCCGUGCUUUUGGAUUCCCACACAAAAUUCAGGCUACAGCUAUUAUAUACUUUAAAAGAUUCUAUUUGCAGUGGUCGGUAAUGGAGCACGACCCAAAGCACAUCAUAUUGCACCAACUCAAGCGAGCUUUGGCUGAGUCAAACCAAGUUUCAGCUGGGUCAUGCCUGAUUUACACCAUGUUUCAAACAUAAAAGAGUCCUCCUACUAGAGUGACCUGGUAGGGGGGACAAGACGGGCUGAGACAAGUCAACGAGUUGAAUCAGUGAGUUUUAAAACAUUGCUAACUAAAUAUGGUAAAAAUUGUGGUAAAAAUUGUUUUCAGUUGUUGGUGCUUAUUUGAGUUCGUUGCAUACUUCAAAAUGAAGUAUUAGAUAUUGUCUCUUGACAGAACACUGAACAGCAAGUGUGACGAGUGCUUAACCUUAUUGAUCUUGCUGGCAGCGAGCGUCUCUCAAAGAGUGGUUCAACUGGGGAAUGCUUAAAAGAAACUCAGGCAAUUAACAAAAGUCUGUCCUGCUUGGGUGAUGUUAUUCUGGCCAUCACGAACAGGGAAUCUUAUGUGCCUUUUAGAAACUUUAAGCUGACAUACCUUUUGCAGCCUUGCCUUGGGGGUGAUUCAAAGACACUUGAUGUUUGCCAACAUUUCUCCUGUUCCUUCCUCGGUGAAUGAGUCCUUAUGCUCCUUGCGUUUUGCUGCAAAAGUAAAUUCUUGUGAGAUUGGGGUUCCUCGCCGUCAGACACACAUUCGCCCAUCUGAUGCACGUUUAAGUAUGGUUGAAAAGGUACAUUGAUUUGGGAGCUGUUUUGCUAUUCUAAAGUGGGUACAUUGCCUUUGGAGGGCUCUUUUGCUCCAUAGGCAUUUGCAAUUUGAGUUCAGCAAGAAAUGGUGGUUGUUUCUGAAUGUCUAAACGCAUUGCGCAAUUUUGGUUUGUCUAUUUGACUUGAGGAAUGUAUUUGUUCAUCACAUACUUGUCAGAUGAUACUAUUUCAGAAUGGAAAUAUUAUCAAUCAAACCAUCAAACAAUUACAGAACAGAUUAUGUUCCGUUACUUAUUUUGGGCAGGUCAGGUCGUAUCCGGAUCCAAACCCGAACCCGAGCUCCACGCACGAAGAGGAGCCCGAAGAGGAACCUGUUCAUGCUAGUAUCAUUGUUAUGCAGAUGAAUGAUGUAAAGAUCCCUGCUGCAAAGGAGAUGAGGCAUAUUGACAGGAAACUGAAAUGCUGUUGGAAUCCUAGUUUGCAGGAAGGGCAAGUAAAAACUUUCUGAAGUUAGUAGUUUAGCCAUGUUUCACUUGAACAAUCAUGUUCAUUUGGGUGAUUUCUAUCCUAUAAAAUAUGGACUCUUUUAAGGAGGUGGCCAUGCAUGGAUGGCACCCACGUCAGGUGCUGGUACUGCAUCAACCCACUAAAUUUGAUUAUAAGCUAUGACAAGUGCAGUCAACUGUGAAUAUGCACACUAGAUUUGAUGUUGACUUGAGUUUUGCCUUGUUAAAUAAAUUCAUUAGUUUAGUCUGUCUCAUAAUCUAUUUACUUUUUCAGCUUUGUUAUAUACCUUUGUUUGUGAUUUUGAUGUUAAAAGUCACACAGGCCACCUACAUCAGGCAAUGGUUAUGGUACUUCCCCCACUGACUAAUUUCGGUUGUCAGCUAUGACAAGUGCAGUCAACUACAUAUGUGCAAGAGCAAGAGGAGAGAGAAGAAAUCUAAGCAUAAGACCAAAAGAACGGCAGCUGAAAUGCAAGGGGCUCGGUAGAUUUAUGUUCCUUGUCGUGUUUCCUGCUGAAUAACAUGAUUCAUCUCAAUGUGAUUUCUUUUAUUUCUGAUUCCAUAUUUGGAUUUUAGAUGAUAAAAAUUUUGUUCUUGUGAAGUGAUUCCUCUACCAGAGCUUAAAUAGCAAAAUCUCUUUUCUUA